rnacentral:rRNA from 1 species
CGCCUCUUGAAUAUACUUAUAAGAGGUCCAGCCUGCCCAGUGACUCUGUUCAACGGCCGCGGUAUCCUAACCGUGCGAAGGUAGCGUAAUCACUUGUUCUUUAAAUAAGGACUAGUAUGAAUGGCACCACGAAGGUUACACUGUCUCCUUUCUCUAAUCAGUGAAACUAAUCUCCCCGUGAAGAAGCGGGGAUUUAAAUAUAAGACGAGAAGACCCUAUGGAGCUUUAAACUAAAUAACACCUUGCUCUUAUAUUUUUAUAUUUGAGAAUACUAACACCUAUUUUAGCUUUAUGAUUUUUAGUUUUAGGUUGGGGUGACCGCGGAGCAAAACAAAACCUCCACAUUGAAUGGGGUUACAUACCCUGAGCAACGAGCUACAACUCUACGCACCAAUAAAUUGACAUAAAUUGACCCAAUAUUUUGAUCAACGAACCAAGUUACCCUAGGGAUAACAGCGCAAUCCGCUUCAAGAGCUCCUAUCGACAAGCGGGUUUACGACCUCGAUGUUGGAUCAGGGUAUCCCAGUGGUGUAGCCGCUACUAAAGGUUCGUUUGUUCAACGAUCAAAACCCU